rnacentral:rRNA from 1 species
AUUGAACGCUGGCGGCAGGCCUAACACAUGCAAGUCGAACGAGUGGCGGACGGGUGAGUAAUGUCUGGGAAACUGCCUGAUGGAGGGGGAUAACUACUGGAAACGGUAGCUAAUACCGCAUACCAUCAUAUUUGCCCAGAUGGGAUUAGCUAUUGGGUGGGGUACCGGCUCACCAAGGCGACGAUCCCUAGAUGGUCUGAGAGGAUGACCAGCCACACUGGAACGGAGACACGGUCCAGACUCCUACGGCAGGCAGCAGUGGGGAAUAUUGCACAAUGGGCGCAAGCCUGAUGCAGCCAUGCCGAGUGUAUGAAGAAGGCCUUCGAGUUGUAAAGUACUUUCAGUGAGGAGGCGGUACCCUCAGAAGAAGCAACGGCUAACUCCGAGCCAGCAGCCGCGGUAAUUC